rnacentral:snoRNA from 1 species
ACUCUCCGAACUCCUUGCCCCUCAGAUCUCAUUAUCGGCCUGAGCUGCUAAAAAAGGAGAAAAGUAAAACUAAAGUGGACUUGGAGUCUGGACAUACAAGUUCAUUGCAAACGUUA